rnacentral:rRNA from 1 species
CACACUGUAAACGAUGAUAACUCGCUGUCGGCGAUACACAGUCGGUGGCCAAGCGAAAGCGAUAAGUUAUCCACCUGGGGAGUACGACCGCAAGGUUGAAACUCAAAGGAAUUGACGGGGGCCCGCACAAGCGGAGGAACAUGUGGUUUAAUUCGAUGAUACGCGAGGAACCUUACCCGGGCUCGAACGGCUUUAGAAUAUAUCAGAGAUGGUAUAGCCAGCAAUGGCUGAAGUCGAGGUGC